GCUUCUGUAGUGUAGUCCGGUCAAACUUACUGAUUUCUUACCCUCGUGACCCGGGUUCAAAUCCCGGCAGAAGCA
rnacentral:tRNA from 1 species